UCCCUACCAUAACCAUCAAGUUCAUGCUGGCCAGGAGUUCCACCAGCCUGGGGAGAACCCCCGUGUCCACCACGAUUUGGAUGCGGUCGUUGGAGCUGUCGGUCAGAUGACAAGACCAUCAUUCCCCCAUCACCCAAGUGAUUAAGAGCUGUUAAGGCAAGAAAAUGAAGGUUAUUUACUGGAGUUACAGGUGACACCAGAGCCAGCAAGGGAGGAAUCACAUCAUGAUUGAUAAGAAUAUCUCUGUAGAGAGGACCAUCCCCUGUACAGCCUGGCUUUGCCACUCCUGGGGUCAGGAGGACCAGCCAGCUCUGCACAGACCAGAGCUCAAACAGCUGGUUUCAGGCUGGUUUUCCAGCUUAAAGACAAACAUGUAAUCUCUCCUGGACCCUCAGGAGUCAUCCCUGCUGCCAGCUGGGUGAUGGUGACACCCUGUAAUCCUUCCUACAGCCACCGCAGUGGGGACAGUCCCACUCAGCACUGACCCUUACAGAGCCAGGCUCUCCAUUCCUUGGCCUGCCCAAGCACUUGGCUCUUGAUUUCCUGCAGGAUCCAACAUGAUCCCUGGCACAGCACAGGCACAGCAAGGGGGGCAGCACCAGGAGCCACAGCAAACCCCUCAGUUGGGUUCAACCCCCCAGGUCCGUGCUACAGGUGCCACCCAAGACUGUGACAGAGAGAAGCAUGGCACACAGGGCACACAACAGGCACCAGCUGAGGUUCCCCAGAGCAGUCUGGGUUACCACGCUCCUUCCCUCUUUGCCAUCUCUCUAGAGAGCUCCUCAAACAGGAAUAAAUGCCUUUUGCCACCAGGACCCACCACAGCUCCAUGAGCCACCUCCCUCGUGGCCCAGGCAGCCAGGCACAUACCUGGUGGCCUGUGUGGCCAGCAGCUGCAGCUUGGGGUUGUUCUCAUUGAUGCCUUCCACGAUCUCCUCCAAGGACAGCUGAAUAAUCUGUGUCACAGGGAAUGAUUCACAGUCAGAGGGGAGCCGGGACUCCCUCUGGUUUAAUCUCUGCAGUCAAUCAGCUGUCUAGACCCGAGUCAGUCACCACUUCAUAUCUAAGCACUGUCUAUUCUUUAUGCAACACAGUUUCGAGAUGAGGCAGAGAAUCCACAAAAGCCUUCAAGGCAACUAAUGCUUAUAAUCAAGCACUGAAAGAGUCCCUGACACACCAUAAUGGGCCUUCAAGCUCAGUAAUUACCCCUCACUGUGCAGGGAGCCAGACAGGAGCUGUGCCAGCUCCCAGGGAGCCAGAGCACCAGCCUGUUCUACCUGCCAUCAAGGGAGGCCAACAGGACAUCAUCUCCAUGAAAAAUAGCAAAGGCAGAGGCCAGGCAGUCUGAAACACUCCCCAGUGUUGGGCAUGGCAGUCAGGAAUGGCACCAGAUACUUAACCCAGGUCACACCAGCUGGACUUGGUAGUGGUCUGAGUAGGGGAUGAUAACUACUGCACUGAUCCUGCCCAGGUGCAGAGGACCCAGCACUCACCUCAUGUGUCCUGUUUUGUCCUGGAGGGACAUUCUCAUCCUUCACAUGAAGGGACACAUUUCUGCGCUUCAGGAUCUGCUCAUCCUUCUUGGCCUUCCUCA